rnacentral:snoRNA from 1 species
AUCUGAUGACAAGGACACCUACGAAGUAAUUCCUUAAAUUUUUCUCACGUCUCGUAUAAGGACUCGUCAUCCAAUUGCUGAAAAGUGGUGAUUUCAUUUCGUAACUU